UUGACGUUUUUUUUCCCAAUUCUUAACAUAACGCCUCACGUUAUUCUUAGUCAUUUCGUAUAAAAUCGAAAGUAACGCACAAAUAAAUCAAAGUAUGUUCCCCCACAAAUCAUAUAUGUAAGUUAUUUACAAACACUAAAUAUCAUCAGCUUACAUGUUAAAUCCGAAAACACAUACUCGUACGUAAAUAUUUACAAACCCGUAGUCGGAUAUCUCGGAUUUCUCCGGGGGGUUCUACAUGAAGUAUCGAUUAUCAUUUUGUUUACGACUCUACGAAUUAUAAAGAGUUCCAUACACGCACUACAUUUAUGUAAUUUGACGAGUAGUUACAGAGAAUAUGUUUCGGUCAAGACAGCUGGAUUUCCGAGAUACAUGUAUAUAAAAAGAUAGGUCACUAUGGAUUGCGAAAUAACAUGGGCCCUGGAAUUAUCCCAUUCUUGCAUAACGUAGUGGAAUUUACUUUGAGAAAUAAAACUUUAUGUUACAUUAGUCUGUCUACAUUUUUGUCAGGUGCAUUUGAAAUACGAACCAUGUAUACUAUGUAGAUAUUGUCAUCAACUUAUGAUUGGACCAUUUACCGUCCGAAACAAAACUGAAGAAACCAGCUAUGCGUAAAUGUGAGACAGCUUAUCAUAUAAACAGAACCUCAACAAGAAGACAUGUGAAAUACUUUGUACAAACAGAAAAGAGGAGAUCCACGGGUCGCCCAGUUUAUACAAACAGAAAAAAAGAGACCAACGUGUCACCCUACACGGCAAAACAUAAAUAUUGCAGGAUCUAUUUGACUGCGCCUGUCCAUUGACUGUAGGGGAAAUGUAUGAUAACGUCUACACACUCUAGUCAUAUGUUGGACAGUCCAUUUGUAUAAUAUUAUGCAAGUAUAAAUACAUUCUUACAACCAGCUAAAAGAAUUCAAACAAGGUUCACAAUAUGUAACAACUAUCACUCACUGUAAUGCGUGUAAUGUUUACAAUCUUUGUACAUGCAAUAUGUCAAUAUCUUAUAGAUUUAUUUUUCAAAACGUACAAAGUCAAUGUAAAAAGGACAUAUACGAGUAAAUAACAUUUUCAAUUACUUUUUGUUAUCCAUACAUAGACUAUAUUUGUCAAAUAUUGCAGUUAAUUCAUAACGACAGACGUGUAAUAUCUAUCUUUUUUUUCUCUAAAUGUAACAACAUAUUUUUGCUAGUGAUUGAAUUCAAUUUAUUCAUAAAAAGAAGUUUUAAGCAAGCUUGAAUGCCAUCUUAAGCAUUCCAGUUAUAUGUUUUGUCCCCUGUCCUUUUUAUCUUUUCUAUUAAUAUAACCAUCUUUGUAUACAGGUAGGCAUAUAAACAUACGACAGUCACUCGGAAAUAUGUUCGAGUAUGCAAGUUCCAAUGAAAAUAGCUGAGCGUUCCUCAUUGCCUCUUCAAACAUUUCUGAAGUAACAACAUUCAAGCGCAAAGUAAACUUCUUUGUAACAUUAUUUUUCUGUUUUAUUACGGUAGUUAGACCACAGUAUUUACCAGGUUUUAUUUCUAGACCGGAGCCUAUGUCGAUAGGAAAUGUUUGAUUUGAAUGAAUAAGAAAUGACACUAACUGACGUAUGUGAUCUUCAUCCUUGUUAGUAUACUCCGGCAUAAAAACUAGCACUUUGCAUUUCCUUUCAUUGUUUUGUAAAAUUUCAUUCCUGGAAUCAAUACUUGCGGCUAAAAAACAAUCAAUAAAAUUAUUAGAGACAGGUUCGGGAUGAAAUAUAAGACGAUGGUUUGAAAUAAUUCCGUGUUUCACAUUAGGAGAAAGGUCUGUGCCUAAAUUAAAAUGAACUUUUCCAGAAAAUACUAUAUAUGGAUACUUCUUUCUCAAUGUAACAUGUUUAUUGUUGUCUUUACCUUUUAUCAUUGUCUCUAAAUAUUUCCCAUUAUCACUGGGAAUAAUUAAACCAGCAUUUGAUAUUGAUGUGUUAUCAUAUGUAUGUUCUGUAAAUUUAGGCUUAAAGCAUUUCUUCCAGUUCAUGUUUUCGAACCAACUUUUCUGUACCAUUUUCUUGUUUGUAUCGUUGUGUUUUGGAAAAGCCAAAUUCAGCUGUUACAGUAGACUUUUGAGAAGAUUUAGAAUGCCGUUGU
rnacentral:lncRNA from 1 species